rnacentral:rRNA from 1 species
AUUGAACGCUGGCGGCAUGCUUCACACAUGCAAGUCGAACGGUAACAGGGUGCUUGCACCGCUGACGAGUGGCGAACGGGUGAGUAAUACAUCGGAAUGUACCCAGUAAUGGGGGAUAACGCUUCGAAAGGAGUGCUAAUACCGCAUACGCCCUGAGGGGGAAAGUGGGGGACCGCAAGGCCUCACGUUAUUGGAGCAGCCGAUGGCUGAUUAGCUAGUUGGUGAGGUAAAGGCUCACCAAGGCGACGAUCAGUAGCGGGUCUUAGAGGACGAUCCGCCACACUGGAAAUGAGACACGGUCCAGACUCCUACGGGAGGCAGCAGUGGGGAAUCUUGGACAAUGGGCGAAAGCCUGAUCCAGCAAUGCCGCGUGCGUGAAGAAGGCCUUCGGGUUGUAAAGCGCUUUUGUCUGGGAGCAAAUCCUGGCCUCUAAUACAGGUCGGGGAUGAGAGUACCAGAAGAAUAAGGACCGGCUAACUACGUGCCAGCCACCGCGGUAAUAC